rnacentral:rRNA from 1 species
GAUGAACGCUGGCGGCGUGCCUAAUACAUGCAAGUCGAGCGAACAGACGAGGAGCUUGCUCCUCUGACGUUAGCGGCGGACGGGUGAGUAACACGUGGAUAACCUACCUAUAAGACUGGGAUAACUUCGGGAAACCGGAGCUAAUACCGGAUAAUAUAUUGAACCGCAUGGUUCAAUAGUGAAAGACGGUUUUGCUGUCACUUAUAGAUGGAUCCGCGCCGCAUUAGCUAGUUGGUAAGGUAACGGCUUACCAAGGCAACGAUGCGUAGCCGACCUGAGAGGGUGAUCGGCCACACUGGAACUGAGCCACGGUCCAGGCUCCUACGGGAGGCAGCAGUAGGGAAUCUUCCGCAAUGGGGGAAAGCCUGGCGGAGCAGCGCCGCGUGAGUGAUGAAGGUCUUCGGAUCGUAAAACUCUGUUAUUAGGGAAGAACAAAUGUGUAAGUAACUAUGCACGUCUUGACGGUACCUAAUCAGAAAGCCACGGCUAACUACGUG